CUUACUUACUUCACCUUACAAUGUUGUCUAUAUAUCAUUUGCUUCAUAUAUAUCCUUUUUCCUCUCUGUUAAGAAACACUAUAUACGACACUAAGUACAAUCGGCUUUGGUUAAAAGCAUCUUCUACAGUGUUAAAGGUUCAGGCGAUCACCCGCCAAAUCUUCAUAAAUCUUUUCAAACGCAUACGGUUAGUAUUUCAAUCUUUUGCUUAAC